CACUCAUGUGGCAUGGGGUUAGGAGUGAGAUGGUGAGAGGUGGUGACCAAAGGGUGGGAAGACCUGCCUUGCUGGCCAUGAUGUUCACUAGGGAAAGAGCAGACACUGAGGUCUUUCCCCAGAGUGAUAGAACAUCAUCAGGUGCAGGUGGACUGAUGGAGCCAGCUGUCCAAGGGCAGGCAUGUAGACUUUCUGCUGAGGUCAGAGGUCUUGCAUGUGAUACAGACAUGUUCCUUGGACCUUGUAGGUAUCCUGUGGGGCUCAUCUUCACAUGAUUUCCCUACUAUGGUAGUAAAACAGGGUUUGGAAUUCUUCUGGAUUUGCAAGAGGGAGCUCCUUACACUUUGUAAAUGCUGAGCAUUAUCAUUUCUGUUAGGUAGAUGGAGAGCUUAAAGAAUGUGGAACAGUAAUUGAGGAAGAACCCUGUGCUGGUUGUUUCAGGAACUUAUUCUUCACUCACCACUCAAUGAGAAAAAGACUGGUUAGGAUGGUUGCUAAGAAGCCUCUAGUUCUGGAAGUCUAAGUGUCUUGUCUACCUGGUGCUGAGGGCAAACUUGCCUGCCCCAAAGCAUGACAAAGGCUGACCACUUGCCCAUUUGGUGCAUACUCAGGGUCUGCUUUCAGAGCCAGGUUGUUAGAAAAAUGAGCGAGCUACUUGCUUGUAACAAUCUAGAUUGCUUGGUUUAACUUGGCCUGGUGUUUGCAGUUAAUGUUUUAGGAAGAAAUAUCUCCCCAAACCCCAGGCAGAGGAAGGAACUGAUAUGAAGAUGGAAAAAUGCUAAGUAGGAAGAGAAGAUCUUUGCUGAUACCCUUGGACUUGACAAUUAGAAGUCAUCCAGCCAUGUCAGUCUGACCUCUGGACUCACACAAUCUGGGGCGGGUUGAGUCUUAAAAGGCUGUGAGUCAUCAUCCUCUCUCCUUUGCAUUUUCCCAAUGAAAAUUUCCCUCAAAGAAAUUCUAGUAGCGGAAAUGAUUACAUAAUUGCAACCCUGUUCUAUUGUUGCACUGUUUUACAGCUGCUCUUACUAUUUAUUACCCCUCCAUACCUGUUUAUGUUCCAAUAGGAAAGGGUGCUCAAUAAAAAUGUUGCUGAAGAAAGGUUACUUCCAGGGAGCAAGAGCAGUGCAGUGUGCAGAUUGGCCCUUGGAUGUCCCCACCUCUGAAGGAGUGAUGGGUGGCUCAGUAACUGGCCGGCUCAGGGGAGGACUCCACUAAUUAGCUCACCCUUCGGUCCCUGGAGAGGACUAGCCGUGGCUUUGCUCCUUGACUCCUCUCUACCCUGUUCCCCCCGCAGGCUCGGAUUGCUAACUGUGGAUGGCCAAGUCAAAUGUCUAUUAAAAAAAUCCUGCUUCCUGACAUUCCCCAGUGGCUGUGUGACAAAUCAAGGUUACCUUGAAAGCAAUGCAGAGGGGGGAAACCCAUCCAUCUGUCAAGAUGUGAGUCACCAGUGUGAUGUCAUCUGAAUCUCAACUGAUUCCAUUAAUUUUGACUGUGAAAGAGGAAGUCUCUCUCAGAGCAUCUGGUAACAGUCUACAUGUUCCCUUUGAUUGGACCACCCUAUGUCACAUGGUGACUGAUUGGCCUGGCCUUAGCCUUGGGUUCUACUUUUGGAACCAGGGGUGAACUCAACUUCCCUGGUGUCCUAUCUCCCCAAAUAAGAGGAUGGAAGCUUGUGGGAAAUUGGAACAUUUACACUGAUCAGCAAAUGGAUGGUGGCGAUUCAGUCAACCCACACACACUAUACUAUGGGACUUCUGAGAAUGAAACAACUUUAUUAAAUGUCUACUUAUGUA